rnacentral:rRNA from 1 species
GACAGAGGGGGCGAGCGUUGUCCGGAGUCACUGGGCGUAAAGCGCGCGCAGGCGGCAACCUAAGUGUCGUGUGAAAGCCCCCGGCUCAACCGGGGGAGGCCAUGGCAAACUGGGUCGCUCGAGCUGCGGAGAGGCCCCUCGAAUUGCCGGUGUAGCGGUGAAAUGCGUAGAGAUCGGCAGGAAGACCAAGGGGGAAGCCAGGGGGCUGGCCGCAGGCUGACGCUGAGGCGCGACAGCGUGGGGAGCAAACACG